UACGAAGGGGGCUAGCGUUACUCGGAUUGACUGGGCGUAAAGGGCGCGUAGGCGGUUGGUACAGUCAGACGUGAAAUUCCUGGGCUCAACCUGGGGGCUGCGUUUGAUACGUGCUGUCUGGAGUUCGGAAGAGGGUCGUGGAAUUCCCAGUGUAGAGGUGAAAUUCGUAGAUAUUGGGAAGAACACCGGUGGCGAAGGCGGCGACCUGGUCCGAUACUGACGCUGAGGCGCGAAAGCGUGGGGAGCAAACAGG
rnacentral:rRNA from 1 species